rnacentral:rRNA from 11 species
UCCACAACCAACGAAAUACCCCAAAAGCACCAGAUCCUGUUUGAUCUCAAAAGCUAAGCAAGAUCAGCCCUGGUUAGUACUGAUGGGAGACUGCCAACAAAUACCAGGUGCUGUAGGAA